rnacentral:tRNA from 1 species
GGCAACGUGCCUGAGUGGUUAAAGGGUAUGACUCGAAUAGGCUCGCCUAUCUCAGCUAUCAUAUGACUUCGGUCGCACAGGUUCGAAUCCUGUCGUUGUCG